UCAUGGAAGGGAGGGAAAAGUGGUAUGUCACAAUAGCCAGGUGAGAGUUCACUUGAGGAUGUGAACUGGAUGAACAAGUGGAUUUAUCAAGGCUUUUAGUUAGUGGAGGGGUGAGAGAAGGACAUGGCAGAUUUCUAAAAGGAGAAAGAUGAAAACAAAAUGUGUGGAUUAGGGAAACUCAUGGAUAUGAUUUAAUGAAGAUGAUGUUUAGGCAGAUUAGUCAGGUGGCAGACUGCAGAAUGAAUGGAUUAGAGAAGAGAACUGAGAGGCUAGAAACAGUUAAGAAGCUACUUCAGAAAAUGUAACAUCAAGAAAAGGGCAAUUAACUCUCGGGUAGUGCUGUGUGUGGAAGGAGCCAGGUUUUCAUCCGAACCUAGACGGUGCACAUUUUCAACAGGGAAAACGUUCGGGAAGGCUUUGUGGUGGUGCUUUUCUCAGGAAAAGUUUGGAACAUGAGAUGAAAGUCUCCACUCGAAUAAGAUGCUGGCAGGAACUGGAUAGGAGACUGGUGGAGAUACAGUGGAUGUUUAUGAAGAAGGAUCUGUCACUUGUGAGGCAUUGUGCAUGCUACGUGUUCUACAUACAUAUUUUGUUAAAUUCCAAAACAAUUUCAAGAGGUAGAAAUGAUCACACUCACUGAUAGGUGAGGGAACUAAGACUCUCACAAGGAAAUUGCCCGGAUCUCACAGAUGGAAAGGACUGAUGACUAAAGCUCCAACUUCCUUCCUCACAUCACUGAUGUUACGCAUGUAGGACAUGAAGUCUGGAUGAAAGGUGAAUGGCUUCUAAGUGGAUUUGCCUCCUCCCUGAGGUCAGGCGCCGGCUGGUCUUUAAUCACUGUUGUCCUGUGCCUGGGCUUAUGUAUAAACAAGAUGCAGAGUCAAAUGUGUACCACAUGUGGAAUGCACCCCAGAAGCGUUGUCAUCAUAUGGGCCAAAUACUGAAUUUAUAGGAAUAAGAAUGUGCAGUAGGCAACACGUGGAAAAGAAAGACUACAUUUGUUUCCCAAUAACCGAGUUAGUAGAAGACUGCAAAGCUUCUAAAAUCAUAGCCACUAUUUAGGAAGAACUGAUCUUUGGAUGGUGGAUGCCUUAGCCAGACCUUAUCUACAUAGUUCCUUUUACCAGUUGGAAGUAGAAUUUAAGGUUUUUCUGGUUCCACUUUUUGCCACAUAAGUCACCAUCUAGUCUCUGUUUUUCCCUGUCACAGGGCCUUGGAACUCAUCCGGGAAGUUUAGUCCAUCACUUUACCAAGUCAAUUUGUGACAAUCAGUCUUAGGGUGGCCCUACAGAAACCACAGUUAUUUGCAGUCUGAGCUGUCUCCCAGUUGGGACAAACAGGAAUAAUUGCCCCUGAAGAGGCCUCUGAAGUGAUUAGUCCACCUGUGUAAGGCAGGCAUAUAGUCUAGGUCUUGCUGCUCUUAGUUACUUGGCACCCCUCCAUUCUCUGCCUUCAUCUCCAACUUGCAAGUUACAUUGUUCCUUCAAUGAGUUCCCUUGCUCUUUAGGCUGCCCUUGGCACUCCUGUCAUAGGCAUUUUCAUACAUGUAGAAAUAGGAAAGAUGAGGGAUCAUGCAGAACAAUUUGUCUUGGUCAAUGAUCAUCAGGUUGACUGAAAUUUUGAUGUCUAUGUUAUGUCCCUUGCAAUAUAAUUCUAACACAGUAUCUUUCUGAUGAUAUGGUCAUUUAAGUGAGCACUAGCAAUGCACAUGUUGCUGUGUGUUCUGAAAUACUCCCAUACUAGGUCCAAGUUUUGGACGAAAGUGUAUUGUUCUCAACAACCUCUAGCCUGGUGCUAGUCCAAGUGGUGCUCCAUAGACCAGUGUCCAUCUACAAAAUUUUUAUUCCAGAUCCACAUUGGAACAAGAACAGAAAUUAAGAGCAAGAGUUUAGGAACAUUAAGGCAAUUGUACAGUGAUUUUCUGUCUGUUGACUCUUGCAAU